rnacentral:lncRNA from 1 species
CUCGUGGAGACUGGAUCUUGGGGCGUCGUCGAGCCUGAAGCCGACCGGCAGAGGAGGGGCGUCGAGGCGGGGCCGCAGGGGGCUGACGAGCCGAGGGGAGGCUGGCUAGGUCUGGCAACCAGGCAGCGGAGAGAGAUGGCGAGGAUGAGGUCGGCCGGUGGUGGGGAUCUCCAUGGCGCGGCGCAUUGGACAGCGGCGGCCCGCGAGCGCCGCCUUCUCCAACCAAUAUCACCCGUUGGAAGCCAUCAGCUCGACCGAAAAAAUUCGCAAGAACCACAGCUCACAGCCACAGGACCAAGUGUCCGUCCUGAUUUCCGCGAAGACGAGUGCGAGAGAUUGCUUACUCGGGCCGCCGAAGGGGAUGGGUCCGGGGUUGAGCCCGGCGGCGAUGCUCGGCGGCGGCUGGACGUGGAGCACGACGAGCGCGCCGUCAGGGCGGAGGCGGAGGUUGUCGGCAGGAGGCCACUGUCCUCCUCGCCGCUCGUGUUGACGCCGGCUUGCAUCUGCGUCGGCGGCGGAGGCGGAGCCGCCACCGCAACGUGGACGGGUUCGUUGAACUCCGUGCGGAUCCGCGGCAUGGUGAAGCUGGAGGAGCCGGUCGGGCCGAGGAUGAGGAACAGCGCACCGACGACGAGGAUCAGGACGACGACGACCGGGCCGAGGCGACGGUGGCACGGUGCCCCGGCUGGGCGGCGGCCGGGCGCCGGUCGGGCCUGCGCGGCGGCGGCCUGAGGGAGAAGAG